rnacentral:rRNA from 1 species
GACGAACGCUGGCGGCGUGCUUAACACAUGCAAGUCGAACGGAAAGGCCUCUUUCGGGGGGUACUCGAGUGGCGAACGGGUGAGUAACACGUGAGUAACCUGCCCUUUACUUUGGGAUAACUUCAGGAAACUGGGGCUAAUACCUACUAGGUACUCAUGCUGCAUGGUGGGGGUUGGACAGUUUCGGCGGUUGGGGGUGGACUGGCGGCUUAUCAGCUUGUUGGGGGAGUAGUGGCUUACCAAGGCUUUGACGGGUAGCCGGCCUGAGGGGGUGACCGGCGACAUUGGGACUGAGGGACGGAACAGACGGCGACGGGAGGCAACAGGGGGGAAUAUUGCACAAUGGGUGGAAGCCUGAGGCAGAAGCGCCGGGUGCGGGAAGAUGGCUUUGGAGUGGAAAACCGGUUUCGCUCUAGACGAAGCUUUGAGUGACGGUAGUGGGUAAAGAAGCACCGGCUAACUACGUG